AAGAGAAGGAAAAAAAAAAUGAAGUAUCCAACCAAAGAAGACCAAGUUUAAUACUUUUUUAAUUCUAAUUGGACCGAUAAGGUGGCGCAUUUUAAUAACCAUGUUACUAAAACAGGCUUUGUCUAACAUAUUUUAUGCUUUUGUUUUGCCUUUUAUUCUGUCUCAUGUUGGCUUUCAUGAAAGGGUUUUAGGGUUCUUUUUUGACUAUUUCAUUUCUGUUUUUUUUUUUAAUCACAGUUUGUAAUUCUGCACAAAAUUUGUGAUUUUGGGAAGUGGGUUUCUCUCCAAAUCCCAAAUUAAAGUGUCUAUGCUGAGAAUUAGUUUAAAAAAAUAUUGAUCAAUUUGCUCAAGUCAACCCUUGUUUUUAUCAUGGAUAAAUUUUGCUGUUUGAAGUCUUCAUUCUCUAAGGUAUGAAUGUUAUGUAACAUCUCCUAUGGUUUCAUUCUUUUCUU
rnacentral:lncRNA from 1 species